rnacentral:rRNA from 1 species
GAUGAACGCUGGCGGCGUGCCUAAUACAUGCAAGUCGAGCGAACAGACGAGGAGCUUGCUCCUCUGACGUUAGCGGCGGACGGGUGAGUAACACGUGGAUAACCUACCUAUAAGACUGGGAUAACUUCGGGAAACCGGAGCUAAUACCGGAUAAUAUAUUGAACCGGAUGGUUCAAUAGUGAAAGACGGUUUUGCUGUCACUUAUAGAUGGAUCCGCGCCGCAUUAGCUAGUUGGUAAGGUAACGGCUUACCAAGGCAACGAUGCGUAGCCGACCUGAGAGGGUGAUCGGCCACACUGGAACUGAGACACGGUCCAGACUCCUACGGGAGGCAGCAGUAGGGAAUCUUCCGCAAUGGGCGAAAGCCUGACGGAGCAACGCCGCGUGAGUGAUGAAGGUCUUCGGAUCGUAAAACUCUGUUAUUAGGGAAGAACAAAUGUGUAAGUAACUAUGCACGUCUUGACGGUACCUAAUCAGAAAGCCACGGCUAACUACGUG